CAAUAGCGUAUAUUAAAGUUGUUGCGGUUAAAAAGCUCGUAGUUGGAUUUCUGCCGAGGACGACCGGUCCGCCCUCUGGGUGAGUAUCUGGCUCGGCCUGGGCAUCUUCUUGGAGAACGUAGCUGCACUUGACUGUGUGGUGCGGUAUCCAGGACUUUUACUUUGAGGAAAUUAGAGUGUUUCAAGCAGGCAUACGCCUUGAAUACAUUAGCAUGGAAUAAUAAGAUAGGGCUUACGGCCUAUUUUGUUGGUUUCUAGGCUGCAGGCAAUGAUUAAUAGGGACAAUUGGGGGCAUUCGUAUUAACGCGUCAGAGGUGAAAUUCUUGGAUUGCGUUACGACGAACUACUGCGAAAGCAUUUGCCAAGGAUGUUUUCAUUGAUCAAGAACGAAAGUUAGGGGAUCGAAGACGAUCAGAUACCAU
rnacentral:rRNA from 1 species